CCUAGACUCCCACCCCACCCAACGUGAGCGACUGGGGGAGGGGCCCGCGCGUGCGCGCCUGGAGGCGGAGAGAGCCGGCUGCGCGCACCGCCCGGGGGCUCCCGCCAGAACCCAAACCCACGCACACAAGGGUCGCAAGGCUAGGCAGUCUUUCAUCCCUGCCGGUCAGGGAGCAACCCCCCACCACCACCAGACCGCGAAAGGCUGAGAUAAGGGAGAGCUAGUGCCGCCAGGUCCCAGCUCCUGACUGGAUAUGGUACGCGUGCGCAGACCGGCGGGAGGGGAGAGGAGACGCGCCCGGGCCCAGCGCCGGCCAGCCUGGCCCCCCUGAGCCUGUCUCUAUGGGCGCGCGCCGACAGCCUCGCGCACCGGCCCCGGGGCCCCGGCCGAAGUGAUGCAGGCGGGCGGUGGGAAAAGUGGAAGACGCUACUCGCAGCGAACCGCCGCCGCCGCUUCCGAGGCCUCACCAAAAUGGCCGCCGCCGUCUCGGCCGCCACCACCAACACCACCGCCACCACCACAGCUCACUAUCGCUACCGCCGGCGCGGCCCGUCUUCUCGCGAGAAACAGUAACUGGAGGUUGGGGGAGCGAGGAAGCUCGCGUGCUAGCGUAGGGCGCUGCCCGAAGCGCAAGGCCGGCUGGGAGAUGUAGUCCGCGCAGAGACAGCGCUUGCCCGCUACGACGCGUUUUUAUCCACUACGGAACCUGCCGCUGGAGCUGCAUUGCGGCUGCCAACUCGGUUGAGUCCGCCCCACUUUAAUAGAUCACCCAGAGUGCUAAAGCAAUUUCUCAGGUACUUUUAGCUAGUUAGCCGUGGAGCAUGGGUCUCUGGAUUCAUAUGGCAGUCCACUUAUGUAGACCUGCUUCAUCUUACACAAGGGUUGUUGUUUAGUCUCUUAAGUUGUGACCGACUCAGUACCACCCCAUGGACUGCAGGUCGCCCAGUUUCCUCGCCCUUCGCUAUUUCCCAGAGUUUGCUCAGACUCAUGUUCAUUGAGUCAGUGAUGUUAAUCAACCAUCUCAUCCUCUGUCUUCCCCCUUAUCCCC
ensembl:lncRNA